ACGGGAGGCAGCAGUGGGGGAUAUUGCACAAUGGGGGAAACCCUGAUGCAGCGACGCCGCGUGAGUGAAGAAGUAUUUCGGUAUGUAAAGCUCUAUCAGCAGGAAAGAUAAUGACGGUACCUGACUAAGAAGCCACGGCUAACUACGUGCCAGCAGCCGCGGUAAUACGUAGGUGGCAAGCGUUAUCCGGAUUUACUGGGUGUAAAGGGCGUGUAGGCGGAGAUUCAAGUCAGGAGUGAAAUCUAUGGGCUUAACCCAUAAACUGCUUUUGAAACUGAAUCCCUUGAGUAUCGGAGAGGCAGGCGGAAUUCCUAGUGUAGCGGUGAAAUGCGUAGAUAUUAGGAGGAACACCAGUGGCGAAGGCGGCCUGCUGGACGACAACUGACGCUGAGGCGCGAAAGCGUGGGGAGCAAACAGGAUUAGAUACCCUGGUA
rnacentral:rRNA from 1 species